CCCAGCCUAGCUCAGCCUGGUAGAGCUUCCGGCUGUAGACCGGAGUGUCGAAGGUUCAACUCCUUCGGCUGGGA
rnacentral:tRNA from 1 species